CACGUAGGCUACGAGCGUUAUCCGGAUUCACUGGGCGUAAAGUGCGUGGAGGCGGCUCUGUAAGUUGGACGUGAAAGCCCCGGGCUUAACUCGGGGAGGCCGUUCAAUACUGCGGGGCUUGAGGGCAGCAGAGGAAGGCGGAAUUCCCGGUGUAGUGGUGAAAUGCGUAGAUAUCGGGAGGAACACCAGUGGCGAAGGCGGCCUUCUGGGCUGUCCCUGACGCUGAAGGCGAAAGCCAGGGGAGCGAACGGG
rnacentral:rRNA from 1 species